AUGACCUCAGGAAUGAUGGGAACUGGGGAAUCUAGUGCCAAUCAGAUCCUUUCUGCAAACCAGCCUUUUUUUUUUUUUUUUUGCCUAGUACAGACAUACUCUCUGCAUGCUUCAACAGACAUGACUGCUGGCAGCUUCCAGAGUCACAUCUUUACUGAAUCACAACCAGAGAAAAGGAAUGGCUUAUCUUCCAGCCAGCGCUGGUUUGAAAUUCCCAGCAAAGGGCUAAGCAGCCUUUCAUUGUGUCCUUCCCUCAUGGCUCAGAAGCCAGUGCUCUCCUCCUGGAAGAACAGCAUUUUCUUGGGUGAAGGCGAGGAAAGAGCUCAUUCAUUCUAGAAGACAGGAACUUGUGUGGUACCAGAGAGGACAGAGAAAGAGCCCAGCUGCCUACAAGGUGGGUGUGUUUGGGAACAAGGAGAGAUAACAUUGGGACAGCAGAAGAUGGGCCCUUCUGCCCCCUGGUCACAGCCCACUUUAGGACAGGUGGCUGGGAAGUCCCUAUUGAUGGAGGGGCUUUGGGCUACAGGGGGAUGAAUGCUCUAAGAUUGAUAUUAUAACUGAAUUGCAAGCUUCCUAUGAGUAGAGUUCUCAUCUGCAUCACCUUCAUUGGAUGUCAGAGAAACAGACCAAGAGAGGGAUGGUAUUUUUUUUUUACUUGAAGAAAGCAAGGGAACCUAGGCUUAUUGAAGCAAGAGCGGCUUAAAUUAGAUAGCAAUACUGAUUUCCUCACUAUGAGAAAAGUACAAGAUUAUCCUAGCUCACCAAGGAGUCUCUUUCCUGAGUGACUUGGAAUCUCCCGGCUGGCGGAGACUCAGAGGAGUUUGUUCAUUCAUUAGUGAUUCUCAAGCUCUUCUACAUCACUGGACAAGCCUACCAAAUCACUGUGAGGUUCAUUGUGUUUGAAAGUUUCAUGGUAAGCUCCUGGUUUCCUCACUCUGAUCUACUCCACUCCCAGCAGAAAACUUUUCAGAGGCUAAUUCAGAGUUGUAGACAGCAGGUUGCUAGCUCUGGCUGCUGGGUUCCAGGUGAUGUCCCAAAGCCAAUGGGGAUGCUGGGCUCUGAGCCCAGACACUAGCUGUUUGUUCCUAGAAAAUAAGGGGCUGAGACUGACCAGAAGUCACCGAGUUUGAACUGUAGACUCCCUUGUCUACCUUUCUAAAGGUUGAGGAGUUCAACCCAAGUGAUACAAUAUUGCAUUUACAUACAAUUCUGGUAGCACUUUAAGACUUAAGAAUUUUCAGAGCAUAAGGCCAACUGUAAGGAAACAAGUCUCCAAUGCAGCUAAACUUCAAGGAAUAACCAGGUGUUAAUGGUUAGGGACAUAGUGGGAUUCAGUUCACUGACCUCUUACUAGGUGCUGCAUCUUGGGUUGGGUACUGGGUGGAGGUAGGAAGAGACCCAACAUAAGAUUGGUGAUGACAGUGAUAAUAAACAUGUGCAAAGAGUUGACCGUACCCCA
ensembl:lncRNA